rnacentral:rRNA from 1 species
UGAGGCAGACAUACUAUCCUGAUAGUGUCUGAUCUUGCAAGCAGUGCAGGAUUGGGCUGUUUCACUACUUAGAUGGGAGACUUUCAAGAAAGUCAAAGUGUUACUGCUAUUU